rnacentral:rRNA from 1 species
ACGAACGCUGGCGGCAUGCCUAACACAUGCAAGUCGAACGAGACCUUCGGGUCUAGUGGCGCACGGGUGCGUAACGCGUGGGAAUCUGCCCUUGGGUUCGGAAUAACAGUUAGAAAUGACUGCUAAUACCGGAUGAUGUCUUCGGACCAAAGAUUUAUCGCCAUUGGAGGGGCCCGCGUUCGAUUAGGUAGUUGGUGAGGUAAUGGCUCACCAAGCCGACGAUCGAUAGCUGGUCUGAGAGGAUGAUCAGCCACACUGGGACUGAGAUACGGCCCAGACUCCUACGGGAGGCAGCAGUGGGGAAUAUUGGACAAUGGGGGCAACCCUGAUCCAGCAAUGCCGCGUGAGUGAUGAAGGCCUUAGGGUUGUAAAGCUCUUUUGGCGGGGACGAUGAUGACGGUACCCGCAGAAUACGCCCCGGCUACCUUCGU